AGAGUUUGAUCAUGGCUCAGGAUGAACGCUAGCUACAGGCUUAACACAUGCAAGUCGAGGGGCGGCAUGAACUUAGCUUGCUAAGUUUGAUGGCGACCGGCGCACGGGUGAGUAACACGUAUCCAACCUUCCGUUUACUCAGGGAUAGCCUUUCGAAAGAAAGAUUAAUACCUGAUAGUAUGGUGAGAUUGCAUGAUAACACCAUUUAAAGAUUUAUUGGUAAACGAUGGGGAUGCGUUCCAUUAGG
rnacentral:rRNA from 1 species